CUUACUUCAUCAAAGCCAGCAGGGCAGAGAGUCUCUGAGCCACAUGGGAGAGGUUUGAAGGAAGGGCAGAAGGCAAGGAGCCGGGACGUUUCCUCCCGCCUGAUGCCUCUGUGACAGGAGCCAGCUCAACUUUGCUGUUCCUUUGGGCGUAGACCAUUGGCUGGGAAAGAGCUGGUAACAGUGGGCAUUUAUUUACGAAAAGGCCUGUGCUGAAUGCCUUUCCUGCCCUCCCUGGAGGGUUGUCUCCACCAGCUUUCUGCUCCUCCUCCCAGAAGGCCCAUCCCAACCAGGACGGGCUCCUGCACAGCGAUGGCCCUCUAACCCUUACUGUCACCCCCCAAGGGCCUGCAUGAGCACCCCAGAGAGCCAGAGGACGGCUUAAAACCAUGUUGCCCAGA